UACAGAGGGUGCAAGCGUUAAUCGGAAUUACUGGGCGUAAAGGGAGCGUAGGCGGGUUAUCAAGUUGGAGGUGAAAGCCCAGGGCUCAACCUUGGAAUUGCCUUCAAAACUGAUAGCCUAGAGUAUGAUAGAGGUAAGUGGAACUCCGAGUGUAGAGGUGAAAUUCGUAGAUAUUCGGAAGAACACCAGUGGCGAAGGCGACUUACUGGAUCAUGACUGACGCUGAGGCUCGAAAGCGUGGGGAGCAAACAGG
rnacentral:rRNA from 1 species